ACGGGGUUCCUCCCGAUCCGGCACCGGAAAAUGGCCCCGGGGUUGACCACCGAGCUGUUGGUGGGCCAAUUGGCCCGGGGAGCGCCGGCCACCAGCCUGCGGGCAGAGACGGCAGCAUGAGGGGCCGCGGCCAGCGGAGCCGGGAGAAGGCGCGACGGACAAAACGGGCGGCGGCAGAGGCGGCACGGCCGGAGACUCACCAUCUUUCCUCGCCGUGGCUGUGCAGGAGAACCGAGUACCCGAAGAAGGUCCCGUUGUCCCCUCGGAACAGCAGCGGGUGCUGGGUGUCCAGAUUUAGAAAAUGUCCCUGUAGCCCUGUGCUGUAAGCCUUGCCAUACCAGCGUUGUGCUGAGGGGGUCUUCCCUGACACUCCUUCAUGGUAUGGGGUAUUUGUGUCCUGAAACCCGUACCCCAGCAGCAGAGGACAGUCCAGAGCCCCCUCGAAUACCGUGGCUUCCCUGCUGCUAUCCUCAUCCAUGGCCCUCAUCUCUGGAACCAUCAGAGAGCUUCCCUGGAUCACGCUGAUGUGGAGCAAUGACUGUUUCGUGUAAAGUACUUAAACGGCUCCUCAGCUGCUAUUCAUCUUCCUCCCAACUACUGACAUCAAAGGACUUAAAACAAUCAACAGCAGCUGUAAAUCUGCAUUUCUAGCAGUCAAGGAGUUUUCACCGUUAUUCUGAAAGCAGCAAAACAAACAUGAUUCAAAACUGAAAUGCUAAACUGUGGUUUAGUUGGUGAGCAAUUAUAACGUUAUUUCACCACC